rnacentral:rRNA from 1 species
AUUAUACCGCGAAACUGCGAAUGGCUCAUUAAAUCAGUUAUCGUCUAUUUGAUAGUACCUUACUACUUGGAUAACCGUGGUAAUUCUAGAGCUAAUACAUGCUGAAAACCCCGACUUCGGAAGGGAUGUAUUUAUUAGAUUAAAAGCCAAUGCCCUUCGGGGCUCCCUGGUGAUUCAUAAUAACUGCUCGAAUCGCACGGCCUUGCGCCGGCGAUGGUUCAUUCAAAUUUCUGCCCUAUCAACUUUCGACGGCUGGGUCUUGGCCAGCCGUGGUGACAACGGGUAACGGAGGGUUAGGGCUCGACCCCGGAGAAGGAGCCUGAGAAACGGCUACUACAUCCAAGGAAGGCAGCAGGCGCGCAAAUUACCCAAUCCCGACUCGGGGAGGUAGUGACAAUAAAUACUGAUACAGGGCUCUUUUGGGUCUUGUAAUUGGAAUGAGUACAAUUUAAUUCCCUUAACGAGGAACAAUUGGAGGGCAAGUCUGGUGCCAGCAGCCGCGGUAAUUCCAGCUCCAAUAGCGUAUAUUAAAGUUGUUGCAGUUAAAAAGCUCGUAGUUGAACCUUGGGCCUGGCUGGCCGGUCCGCCUCACCGCGUGCACUGGUCCGGCCGGGCCUUUCCCUCUGGGGAGCCGCAUGCCCUUCACUGGGCGUGUCGGGGAACCAGGACUUUUACUUUGAAAAAAUUAGAGUGUUCAAAGCAGGCUUAUGCUCGAAUACAUUAGCAUGGAAUAAUAGAAUAGGACGCGUGGUUCUAUUUUGUUGGUUUCUAGGACCGCCGUAAUGAUUAAUAGGGACAGUCGGGGGCAUCAGUAUUCAGUUGCGAGAGGUGAAAUUCUUGGACCAACUGAAGACUAACUACUGCGAAAGCAUUUGCCAAGGAUGUUUUCAUUAAUCAGGAACGAAAGUUAGGGGAUCGAAGACGAUCAGAUACCGUCGUAGUCUUAACCAUAAACUAUGCCGACUAGGGAUCGGGCGGUGUUAUCUUUUGACCCGCUCGGCACCUUGCACGAAAGUACAAGUU